CUCCAUCCUCCCGUUCCCAUCCCCCACUCCACUCCCCACUGCGCCGGUGACGAGCGAUACCCCAAAUCCCCCACGAAAUCCCUAGGGCUUCGCGGCGAGCUAGCCGGCGACGAGUCAAUUGACGGAGAAAGGAGACCCCCAGCGAAGGAUUCCGCCCAGCAUCCGACGGGUGAGGGCGGCACGCGCGUGCCAGAGAAGGAGGAGAAGGAAGCAUCGACGGGGAAGGAGAAGAAGGAAGCGACGAAGCUCUGCGCGAAGCGACGGAUGCCCCGGAGACGCGAUAUCCUGCUGAUUCAAUGCCCCAAGGCAAAAACCAAAAGUGAAAAACUACGGGGGAGGGCAUCUUUUUCAGUAUCCCUCGAGUGGUAGUUUUUAUGAUGGAUGACUACCAAGAUCAACAGAAUGGCGAGAAGCAACGUGCAAGCCAAUAGACAUGAUGUGUUUUCAAGAGGCAGUAGUUUUCCUUCAUGCCAACAAUAUUUUCAGUUCUGCAGGUGUAGGGGGAGGCAAGAACAGGGGGACAAGAUUCAUGUCAGGUUCUGCAACAACAAUUCGGUACAGGGGCAAAUUUUGCAAGCAGUAGAUCAAGGGGUAGGUACAUAAAGGGAAACACACUAGUUCUAGAACAACCAAGGAUGUUGGCAGAUUUAAUGGUGUGUUUUGCCUUGAUUACCUUUGUUGUCGUCUUCCCUGGGAGUUUUUUGCCCAGCUUUGGCAAUUUCAUUGCCCACAAUUUCUCCAAAUUAUUGCCUGAUCAGCAAGUUUUUGCAGACAUAAUUGCAGUUUUUCCCCAGAUUUUUGCUUGAUUUUUUCUCCUUCCCCUGCUGUGUUUUCCGUUGUGGGAGGGGAGCUCUCCAACCACUAAGCCAUGGCGUGCGGCGUCGGAAGAAGAUGUUGCACGGGGGACGCUGCUGGGCGUAGGGUUUCCCUGGUGGCGGGGCAGAAGCGAGAUCACGUGAAAAGGGUUGUUUUAUUUGGCGUGACGUGGCAACGACAGAGGAGGUGUACCUGCCUUUUUUUAGCAUGUGGGUGGGACCGACACGGGAAACUUUCCUUAAC